rnacentral:rRNA from 1 species
UGAGGAAUUUUGCGCAAUGGCCGCAAGGCUGACGCAGCAACGCCGCGUGGGUGAAGAAGGCCUUCGGGUCGUAAAGCCCUGUCAGGUGGGAAGAAUGUCGGGGGGAUGAAUAAGCCUUUCGAGUGACGGUACCACCAGAGGAAGCACCGGCUAACUCCGUGCCAGCAGCCGCGGUAAUACGGAGGGUGCAAGCGUUAUUCGGAAUUACUGGGCGUAAAGCGCGUGCAGGCGGGCGUGCAAGUCUGAUGUGAAAGCCCUGGGCUUAACCUGGGAAGUGCAUUGGAUACUGCAUGUCUUGAGUUGCGGAGAGGAAGGGGGAAUUCCCGGUGUAGAGGUGAAAUUCGUAGAGAUCGGGAGGAAUACCAGUGGCGAAGGCGCCCUUCUGGACGACAACUGACGCUGAGACGCGAAAGCGUGGGGAGCAAACAGG